rnacentral:rRNA from 1 species
GACGAACGCUGGCGGCACGCCUAACACAUGCAAGUCGAGCGGAGAUUGAGAGCUUGCUCUCAUGAUCAGCGGCGGACGGGUGAGUAACACGUGAGCAACCUGCCUUUCAGAGGGGGACAACAGUUGGAAACGACUGCUAAUACCGCAUAACAUUGCCGAACGGCAUCGUUUGGCAAUCAAAGGAGCAAUCCGCUGAAAGAUGGGCUCGCGUCUGAUUAGAUAGUUGGUGAGGUAACGGCUCACCAAGUCGACGAUCAGUAGCCGGACUGAGAGGUUGAUCGGCCACAUUGGGACUGAGACACGGCCCAGACUCCUACGGGAGGCAGCAGUGGGGGAUAUUGGACAAUGGGGGAAACCCUGAUCCAGCGAUGCCGCGUGAGGGAAGAAGGUUUCGGAUUGUAAACCUCUGUGGACAGGGACGAUAAUGACGGUACCUGUUUAGAAAGCCACGGCUAACUACGUG